rnacentral:sRNA from 2 species
UUUGCUUGAUCGCUGAGUCUUCGCCCAAUAGGCGAAGAGCGGGGGAACCAAACGCACUGCAGCCAUCCGAUGUGAGAGUCGGAAGCUGGCAGCGCAGGGGUGAAUCGUUUGCAGGAGUGUCAUGAAACUCCAGGCAAAUGUAGGGCGACUCUCACCGCCCGAAUCCGACAGCUAACCUCGUAAGCGCAGGUGUAGAGAGGAAUG